rnacentral:rRNA from 1 species
AUUGAACGCUGGCGGCAGGCUUAACACAUGCAAGUCGAGCGGGGGAGGUUGCUUCGGUAACUGACCUAGCGGCGGACGGGUGAGUAAUGCUUAGGAAUCUGCCUAUUAGUGGGGGACAACAUUCCGAAAGGGAUGCUAAUACCGCAUACGCCCUACGGGGGAAAGCAGGGGAUCUUCGGACCUGGCGCUAAUAGAUGAGCCUAAGUCGGAUUAGCUAGUUGGUGGGGGAAAGGCCUACCAAGGCGACGAUCUGUAGCGGGUCUGAGAGGAUGAUCCGCCACACUGGGACUGAGACACGGCCCAGACUCCUACGGGAGGCAGCAGUGGGGAAUAUCGGACAAUGGGCGAAAGCCUGAUCCAGCCAUGCCGCGUGUGUGAAGAAGGUCUUCGGAUUGUAAAGCACUUUAAGUUGGGAGGAAGGGCAGUAAACUAAUACCUUGCUGUUUUGACGUUACCGACAGAAUAAGCACCGGCUAACUCUGUGCCAGCAGCCGCAGUAAAAC